rnacentral:rRNA from 1 species
UGGGGAAUCUUGGACAAUGGGGGAAACCCUGAUCCAGCAACGCCGUGUGAGUGAUGAAGGUCUUCGGAUUGUAAAGCUCUGUUAGCCGGGAAAAAACUCGUGAGCAUCAGAUCCUCACGAUUGAUGGUACCGGCAGAGGAAGCACCGGCUAACUCUGUGCCAGCAGCCGCGGUAAUACAGAGGGUGCGAGCGUUAAUCGGAAUUACUGGGCGUAAAGCGUGCGCAGGCGGUUUGGUAAGACAGAUGUGAAAUCCCCGGGCUUAACCUGGGAACUGCAUUUGUGACUGCCAGACUAGAGUGUAGCAGAGGGGGGUAGAAUUCCACGUGUAGCAGUGAAAUGCGUAGAUAUGUGGAGGAAUACCGAUGGCGAAGGCAGCCCCCUGGGCUAACACUGACGCUCAUGCACGAAAGCGUGGGGAGCAAACAGGAUUAGAUACCCAAGUAGUCCCUGAGCGGGCUGGCAAGGCGCAU